rnacentral:tRNA from 1 species
GGGGUUGUGGCUCAGUGGUAGAGUGCUUGCCUUGCAUGUGUGAGGCACUGAGUUCAAACCUCAGCACCA